UACGAAGGGGGCUAGCGUUGCUCGGAAUCACUGGGCGUAAAGGGCGCGUAGGCGGACUCUUAAGUCAGGGGUGAAAGCCCAAGGCUCAACCUUGGAAUUGCCUUUGAUACUGAGGGUCUCGAGACCGGAAGAGGUGAGUGGAACUGCGAGUGUAGAGGUGAAAUUCGUAGAUAUUCGCAAGAACACCAGUGGCGAAGGCGGCUCACUGGCCCGGUACUGACGCUGAGGUGCGAAAGCGUGGGGAGCAAACAGG
rnacentral:rRNA from 1 species